rnacentral:rRNA from 1 species
AGCGAACGCUGGCGGCAGGCUUAACACAUGCAAGUCGAGCGGGCGUAGCAAUACGUCAGCGGCAGACGGGUGAGUAACGCGUGGGAACGUACCUUUUGGUUCGGAACAACACAGGGAAACUUGUGCUAAUACCGGAUAAGCCCUUACGGGGAAAGAUUUAUCGCCGAAGAUCGGCCCGCGUCUGAUUAGCUAGUUGGUGAGGUAACGGCUCACCAAGGCGACGAUCAGUAGCUGGUCUGAGAGGAUGAUCAGCCACAUUGGGACUGAGACACGGCCCAAACUCCUACGGGAGGCAGCAGUGGGGAAGUAUUGGACAAUGGGCGCAAGCCUGAUCCAGCCAUGCCGCGUGAGUGAUGAAGGCCCUAGGGUUGUAAAGCUCUUUUGUGCGGGAAGAUAAUGACGGUACCGCAAGAAUAAG